CCGCAAAACUCAGUCACCAUUCA
rnacentral:siRNA from 1 species